CAAACCCAGACAUCUGACCCUGCAAGCACCCUGACUUCCACUACAGCUAUCCCCACAGGCAGCCAGACUAAACCAACACCACCAAAGUGUACAUACACGGUCAUGCCUGUCAGCUAUGGCUUUCAGAUUGACUUAAAGGCCUCAACCUCCGACACAUACAACAUAUCGUACCAGGAUGAAUCAGGAAAAACAUGACUGUUGAGCAUCAAACGGUGAACUCCACUAUUGUGGUAACAUUGAAGCCUUGCAGGAAAUACACUUUGACAAAGAUUCAGCCUGAAUGUGAACUCCAAGGAAAUAGCACUCUGAGGACUGAGAAAAUGGGUAUGUCAAAGGCACUGAGCAUACACUGUUUAAUUUAAUUACAUAUGAACUAAUAAUCCUUAUUAAAUCCUGUGGCUAAAUAAUGC